AUGGCGGACGCGCCGGUGGAGCUGCCGGGCCGGCUCGCCAUACUGCCGUUCCGCAACAAGGUGCUCCUCCCGGGCGCCAUCGUGCGGAUCCGAUGCACCAACCCCAGCAGUGUAAAGCUGGUGGAGCAGGAGCUCUGGCAGAGGGAGGACAAGGGUCUGAUCGGAGUGCUUCCGGUGCGGGACUCCGAGGCUGCGGCUGUUGGUUCCAUCCUGUCGCCUGGCGUGGGCAGUGAUUCAGGUGAAGGAGGCCGCAGGUCGCCUGGUGGUUCUGGGGGAGAGUCGACCAAACAGGAUGCAAAGAGUGGGAAGGAGCCCAUUCACUGGCACAGCCGGGGAGUUGCUGCUAGAGCUCUGCACCUUUCAAGAGGGGUGGAGAAACCAAGUGGAAGGGUUACAUACAUUGUUGUUCUCGAAGGCUUAUGUAGGUUCAGUGUUGAAGAACUCAAUGCAAGAGGAUCGUAUCAUGUUGCCCGUGUUUCACGACUUGACAUGACAAAGACUGAGUUGGAGCAGGCAGAGCAAGACCCAGAUCUAAUUGCUCUUUCGAGGCAAUUUAAAGCAACUGCCAUGGAACUAAUUUCCGUCUUAGAGCAGAAGCAGAAGACGGUUGGUAGGACUAAGGUGCUACUUGAGACAGUUCCUGUAUACAGGCUAGCUGAUAUUUUUGUUGCUAGCUUUGAAAUAAGCUUUGAGGAGCAGCUUGCUAUGCUGGAUUCAGUUGACUUGAAAGUGAGACUUUCCAAGGCAACAGAACUUGUAGACAGGCACCUGCAGUCAAUUCUUGUAGCGGAGAAAAUAACACAGAAGGUGGAGGGGCAGCUAUCAAAAUCCCAAAAAGAAUUUCUGCUGCGCCAGCAGAUGAGGGCUAUCAAAGACGAACUUGGUGAUAAUGAUGAUGAUGAAGAUGACAUUGCUGCAUUGGAAAGGAAGAUGCAGAAUGCAGGAAUGCCAGCUAAUAUUUGGAAGCAUGCCCAAAGGGAGUUGAGGCGUUUGAGGAAGAUGCAACCUCAGCAACCUGGAUAUAGUAGCUCUCGAGCUUAUUUGGAACUUAUUGCGGACCUUCCUUGGCAAAAAGUAAGUGAAGAAAGGGAACUUGACCUUAGAGCUGCAAAGGAGAGUCUUGAUCGUGAUCAUUACGGGCUGACCAAAGUUAAGCAAAGGAUUAUUGAGUAUUUGGCUGUCCGUAAGCUCAAACCGGAUGCCAGAGGUCCAGUGCUGUGUUUUGUGGGGCCACCUGGUGUUGGAAAGACAUCUUUGGCUACAUCCAUAGCAAAGGCCCUAAAUAGGAAGUUCAUAAGAAUCUCUCUUGGUGGUGUAAAGGAUGAGGCUGAUAUUAGGGGCCAUCGAAGAACAUACAUUGGAAGCAUGCCAGGGCGCCUCAUUGAUGGACUAAAGAGGGUAUCUGUCAACAACCCAGUGAUGCUCCUUGACGAAAUUGACAAGACUGGUUCUGAUGUACGUGGGGAUCCAGCAUCAGCACUGCUAGAAGUACUUGACCCUGAGCAGAACAAAACAUUCAAUGACCACUAUUUGAAUGUUCCAUUUGACCUGUCGAAGGUUGUAUUUGUUGCAACUGCCAACAGGAUGCAACCUAUCCCCCCUGCCCUGUUAGAUAGGAUGGAAGUCAUUGAGUUACCAGGCUACACGCCUGAAGAAAAGCUGAAAAUAGCCAUGAAACAUCUCCUACCAAGGGUAUUGGAACAGCAUGGUUUGAGCUCCGCAUAUCUUCAGAUUCCUGAGGCUGUAGUCAAACUUAUCAUCGAGAGAUACACACGGGAAGCUGGUGUGCGUAAUCUUGAAAGAAACCUAGCUGCAUUGGCUCGUGCAGCUGCUGUCAAGGUUGCAGAGCUAGAUAGUACGCUUAGACUUGGCAAGGAAAUGCAGCCAAUAACUACAACUCUACUGGACUCAAGGCUCGCCGAUGGUGGUGAAGUUGAAAUGGAAGUUAUUCCUAUGGGCCAGGACAUAUCAAAUACAUAUGAAAACCCAUCGCCUAUGAUUGUUGAUGAGGCUAUGCUAGAAAAAGUGCUUGGGCCUCCUAGAUUUGAUGACAGAGAGGCUGCGGAUCGGGUGUCAUCCCCAGGAGUGUCAGUUGGGCUUGUCUGGACUUCUUUUGGUGGGGAAGUUCAGUUUGUAGAGGCUACGGCCAUGGCGGGUAAGGGUGACUUGCAUCUGACAGGACAACUUGGUGAUGUAAUUAAGGAAUCAGCACAGUUAGCUCUGACAUGGGUGAGAGCAAGAUCUGCUGACCUCAAUCUGUCACCUACUUCUGAUAUUAACAUAUUGGAGAGCCGUGAUAUUCACAUACAUUUUCCUGCUGGUGCUGUGCCGAAGGAUGGUCCUUCUGCAGGAGUCACAUUGGUAACAUCACUAGUGUCAUUGUUUAGUAACCGGAAAGUCAGAGCAGACACCGCAAUGACCGGAGAGAUGACUCUUAGGGGCCUAGUGUUGCCAGUUGGUGGUGUUAAGGAUAAGGUGCUUGCUGCACAUCGAUAUGGCAUCAAGAGAGUAAUAUUACCAGAAAGAAACUUGAAGGACUUGGCUGAGAUUCCAGCUCCGAUCCUCGCUGGCAUUGAGAUUCUGCUCGUGAAGCGCAUUGAGGAAGUACUUGGCCAUGCUUUUGAGAAUGGAUUCCCUUUGAGGCUACACUCCAGUCUAUAG
rnacentral:rRNA from 1 species